rnacentral:rRNA from 1 species
UACGAAGGGGGCUAGCGUUGCUCGGAAUCACUGGGCGUAAAGGGUGCGUAGGCGGGUCUUUAAGUCAGGGGUGAAAUCCUGGAGCUCAACUCCAGAACUGCCUUUGAUACUGAGGAUCUUGAGUUCGGGAGAGGUGAGUGGAACUGCGAGUGUAGAGGUGAAAUUCGUAGAUAUUGGGAAGAACACCGGUGGCGAAGGCGGCUCACUGGCUCAUUUCUGACGCUCAGGCGCGACAGCGUGGGGAUCAAACAGG